GUGUUGAGCCCGAAGAGGACCCCAACUGCCGCCCUGGUCGCCGCGAGACCAAGUACUACUUCAGCACUGCCGUCGGCAGAUGUCGCUCAUUUGUGUCCGUUGGCUGCGAGCGUGGGAGAAACGUGUUCCUCACCGCUCGGGAAUGCGAAGAGGUGUGCGAGAGCCGAGACACAGAUAAUGGUGGCGGCGGUAUCCCGCAGUUUUGCCGCGCAGAACCCGAAGAUGAUCCGAACUGCCUGCCUGGUGACCGCCAGACCAAGUAUUACUUCAGCGCUGCCGUCGGUAGAUGUCGCUCUUUCGUAUCGGUCGACUGCGAGCGGGGCAGAAACGUGUUCUUGACGCGGCGGGAGUGCGAGCAGGCAUGCAGUGGCCGUGACGAAGGUGGUGGUGAGAGGCCCCAGUUCUGCCGUGCCGAGCCCGAGGCCAUCUCCAACUGCCGGCCUGGUGAUCGUGAAACCAAAUACUACUUCAGCGCCGC